rnacentral:rRNA from 1 species
CAGUCGCCACGGUAAUACGAAGGGGGCUAGCGUUGCUCGGAAUGACUGGGCGUAAAGGGCGCGUAGGCGGUUUGUACAGUUGGGUGUGAAAUUCCUGGGCCUAACCUGGGGGCUGCACCCAAUACGUGCUGGCUUGAGUGUGGAAGAGGGUCGCGGAAUUCCCAGUGUAGAGGUGAAAUUCGUAGAUAUUGGGAAGAACACCGGUGGCGAAGGCGGCGACCUGGUCCAUUACUGACGCUGAGGCGCGAAAGCGUGGGGAGCAAACAGGAUUAGAUACCCGUGUAGUCCCUGUCUCUUAUAC